GCAGUCGCCGCGGGAAUACGUAGGUGGCAAGCGUUGUCCGGAAUUAUUGGGCGUAAAGCGCGCGCAGGUGGUUUAAUAAGUCUGAUGUGAAAGCCCACGGCUCAACCGUGGAGGGUCAUUGGAAACUGUUAAACUUGAGUGCAGGAGAGAAAAGUGAAAUUCCUAGUGUAGCGGUGAAAUGCGUAGAGAUUAGGAGGAACACCAGUGGCGAAGGCGGCUUUUUGGCCUGUAACUGACACUGAGGCGCGAAAGCGUGGGGAGCAAACAGGAUUAGAUACCCGCGUAGUCCCUGUCUCUUAUAC
rnacentral:rRNA from 1 species